CAGCUCCAACCACAGCUCCAACCUCAGCCUCUCUGAGGUCUGAGUGAACUUUAACAGAGCAGAUUCCCCCUUAAGGAGUGUGCGAGCUCUGGGUUUAUGCGUGAAAACUAACUGAGCCGAGCGGCGUUCAGCUGAGAGAGUGUCCGAGCAGGAGGCACUUGGAGCGGACUCAGAGCACCGCGCGUCCCCGCUGUAGCAGCGUUAGCCUUUAGCCUUUAGCUCUGUUAGCUCCAGGAAGAUGCAGUGUGUGAAGAUAAUGAGGAAACGACCCCUGGACCUGGAGCCCUGGGACCGCUGCAAAACCAAGCGCGUUUGUUUGGGGGCGGAGCUUGUGGCUGAUUGUCCAAUGGAAACUUGCGACAGUUCAAAUCUGACCAAUCAGCUGCAGCCUCAGCUGCACGUGCAGGGGCACAUCAACCACAUCCUGGGACUCUAGCCAAUCAGACGACAGCUCUGAGGGACGCCACGCCAGACUGACCAAUCAGACGACAGCUCUGAGGGACGCCA
ensembl:lncRNA